AGAGUUUGAUCAUGGCUCAGAACGAACGCUGGCGGCGUGGAUAAGACAUGCAAGUCGGACGGGACUUUUCGCUGUAGCAAUACAGUGGAAAGUUCAGUGGCGAACGGGUGCGUAACACGUGGGCAAUCUGCCUUAAAGUGUGGGAUAGCUCGGCGAAAGCCGAAUUAAUACCGCAUGUGGCUACUGGAGACAUCUUCGGGACGCUAAAGGUGGCGCAAGCUACCGCUUUUUGAGGAGCCCGCGGCCUAUCAGCUUGUUGGUGAGGUAACGGCUCACCAAGGCGUUGACGGGUAGCUGGUCUGAGAGGACGACCAGCCACACUGGGACUGAGACACGGCCCAGACACCUACGGGUGGCAGCAGUCGAGAAUUUUUGACAAUGGGGGAAACCCUGAUCGAGCGACGCCGCGUGGAGGAUGAAGGUCUUCGGGUUGUAAACUCCUGUCAUUUGGGAACAAGGCGCAUGUAUUAACUGUACAUGCGUUGAUAGUACCAGAAGAGGAAGAGACGGCUAACUCUGUGCCAGCAGCCGCGGUAAUACAGAGGUCUCAAGCGUUGUUCGGAUUCAUUGGGCGUAAAGGGUGUGUAGGUGGCGCGCUAAGUCGGGUGUGAAAUUUCGGAGCUUAACUCCGAAACUGCAUUCGAUACUGGCGUGCUUGAGGACUGGAGAGGAGACUGGAAUUUACGGUGUAGCAGUGAAAUGCGUAGAUAUCGUAAGGAAGACCAGUGGCGAAGGCGGGUCUCUGGACAGUUCCUGACACUGAGACACGAAGGCCAGGGGAGCAAACGGGAUUAGAUACCCUAGUAGUCC
rnacentral:rRNA from 1 species